CAAUCUCAUGAACAAAAAUCAAAGAAGAAAAGGAAAAUUGAUGGUUGAAGUGUUGGCUUCUGGUUUUUCUGGGACAUUGAUUUCUCUCUGGCAUUUGUUGUAAAACAAAUAUGUGGUUCUUGCCCCACAGAUGGUGUCUAUGUAAUGAUUUUUACAUUUAGGGUGUGUUUGGUACGAAGGAAUUUUUUUUUUGGAAAAUGUUUUCUAAUUUAUUUCAUGUUUGGUUAGCUUAAAUGUUUGGAAAAUAUUUUCGUUAUCAAUUUAUUUUUUUCCAAUUGGGGGAAAAUAUUUUCCUUAUCAAGAGAAGGGAAAACAUUUUCCAAACCUCCUCCUUCUCAACUUUCCCAACCCCCACCAACCCACCCCACCCCCUCUCUGAUUUUUUUUUUAUUUCAGCUUUUCCGUUACCACGCACCCUAUUACCCCUCCAUCUCCUCUCCCCCUUUCCCGCUCCCCCGCAAAAAAAUAUUUUUUUACCUUAAUUCUUUUUUGUAAUUUUAAAUUUCUAUUUUUUUAUUGUUCUGCACCACCCACCCUUACCCCCACCCCCAAUUUUUUUUUCUUUUUUUCUUUUUUUUUUUUUUUU
rnacentral:lncRNA from 1 species